rnacentral:rRNA from 1 species
ACAGCAGCCGCCACGGGAAUACAGAGGGUGCGAGCGUUAAUCGGAUUUACUGGGCGUAAAGCGUGCGUAGGCGGCUUCUUAAGUCGGAUGUGAAAUCCCUGAGCUUAACUUAGGAAUUGCAUUCGAUACUGGGAAGCUAGAGUAUGGGAGAGGAUGGUAGAAUUCCAGGUGUAGCGGUGAAAUGCGUAGAGAUCUGGAGGAAUACCGAUGGCGAAGGCAGCCAUCUGGCCUAAUACUGACGCUGAGGUACGAAAGCAUGGGGAGCAAACAGGAUUAGAGACCCCGGUAGUCCCUGUCUCUUAUAC